GACAGAGGGUGCGAACGUUGUUCGGAAUUACUGGGCGUAAAGCGCAUGUAGGCGGCAGCGCAAGUCGGGCGUGAAAUCCCACGGCUCAACCGUGGAAGUGCACUCGAAACUGCGCAGCUAGAGUCCUGGAGAGGAAGGUGGAAUGCUUGGUGUAGAGGUGAAAUUCGUAGAUAUCAAGCGGAACACCGGUGGCGAAUGCGGCCUUCUGGACAGUGACUGACGCUGAGAUGCGAAAGCGUGGGGAGCAAACAGG
rnacentral:rRNA from 1 species